GACGAACGCUGGCGGCGUGCUUAACACAUGCAAGUCGAACGGAAAGGCCCUGCUUUUGUGGGGUGCUCGAGUGGCGAACGGGUGAGUAACACGUGAGUAACCUGCCCUUGACUUUGGGAUAACUUCAGGAAACUGGGGCUAAUACCGGAUAGGAGCUCCUGCUGCAUGGUGGGGGUUGGAAAGUUUCGGCGGUUGGGGAUGGACUCGCGGCUUAUCAGCUUGUUGGUGGGGUAGUGGCUUACCAAGGCUUUGACGGGUAGCCGGCCUGAGAGGGUGACCGGCCACAUUGGGACUGAGAUACGGCCCAGACUCCUACGGGAGGCAGAAGUGGGGAAUAUUGCAAAAUGGGCGGAAGCCUGAUGCAGCAACGCCGCGUGCGGGAUGACGGCCUUCGGGUUGUAAACCGCUUUCGCCUGUGACGAAGCGUGAGUGACGGUAAUGGGUAAAGAAGCACCGGCUAACUACGUG
rnacentral:rRNA from 1 species